rnacentral:rRNA from 1 species
GUAGGUGGCAAGCGUUGUCCGGAAUUAUUGGGCGUAAAGCGCGCGCAGGCGGUUCUUUAAGUCUGAUGUGAAAGCCCACGGCUCAACCGUGGAGGGUCAUUGGAAACUGGAGAACUUGAGUACAGAAGAGGAAAGCGGAAUUCCACGUGUAGCGGUGAAAUGCGUAGAGAUGUGGAGGAACACCAGUGGCGAAGGCGGCUUUCUGGUCUGUAACUGACGCUGAGGCGCGAAAGCGUGGGGAGCAAACAGGAUUAGAUACCCUGGUAGUCCACGCCGUAAACGAUGAGUGCUAAGUGUUAGGGGGUUUCCGCCCCCCUUAGUGCUGCAGCUAACGCAUUAGGCACUCCGCCUGGGAUACGGCCGCAAGGCUG